GUGGGUCUGCCUUCAGUGCCUUGUUUUGGUUUCUUUGGUGGAAGAUAACAUAGCAUGCUGUGGUCACUGCGAACUGCGAUUGUUGUGUGUGUCUGUUUUGCGUAAUGAAUGGAACCCUAUUCAUCAAUCACCGGAUUCCACCUAAUAUAAUCCCGUGUUGAUGUUGGUGUUGGUGUUGCAGCUAUGUCAUGUCCAACAACAUUUCUUCCCUUCCCUUCCCUUUCUCUCUCUUCGCCACAACUCUAGGGUUUCCCUUUUCAAUCCAAUCUCUUCACGCAUUCCAUUCCAACCAUUCACCUUUCGUACAAACAAAUGGAGAUUUUUGUGUUCUGGUCAUGGAUGUAUUUCAUCAGAAACUAAUGGUUCUGAGUUCAACGAAGAUAAAUUGUCAGAAGAUUUGGUGAAUUUAAAGGUGACCGGUCCAAAGACUUGAAAAAAGAUUGGCUUGCAUCACUCUUUACGGCUGCAACUGCAAUUGGGGUAUGUAAUUUAAAACUGAAACAUCCUGCGCGCUGACGAGGGCGGGGAGUGAUCGCCGGUGCGAAAGGACAUGGACAAAGGAGCGGCUCUUGGUAGGCUUCCAGCGACAGGGGUACAUGAAUGAAUCGAAUCAACACCCGAAAGAGAGAGAUUCCAGAGACUGUACUGGUAUGAGACGGUACAGUUGAGAAUAACUUAUAAGAAUUAAUUGGUACUACCUAUACUAACAAGAUGUAUCUACUUUUCGGUAGCCCGGAACGGAAGAACUCUAUAGUUAAGCGUGCUUGACCUGGGGCAAUUCUUGGAUGGGUGACUUCCUGAGAAGUUUUCCCGGGAAGUGUGCGAGGGAGGACAAAACACGCUGAAAAGUCUCGUGUUAGUGUGUGGGGACAGUCGUUGAUCCUUGCAAGUUGCCAGGCGUUACAGUGGUAUCAGAGCAGGGCCUCUCUUCCAGUACGGUGUAGUUCGAGGACGAACCAGGCGGAAGCUGGUGGGCAUGUAACAUCCUGGGCGCUGACGAGGGCGGGGAGUGAUCGCCGGUGCGAAAGGGCAUGGACAAAGGAGCGGCUCCUUGCAGGCUUCCAGCGAAAGGGGUACUGAAUGAAUCGAAUCAACACCCGAAAGAGAGGGAUCCCAGAGACUGUGUUGGUAUGGGACGGUACAGUUGGGAAUAACUUAUAAGAAUUAAUUGGUACUACCUAUACUAACAAGAUGCAUCUACUUUUCGGUAACCCGGAACGGAAGAACUCCAUAGUUAAACGUGCUUGACCUGGGGCAAUUCUGGGAUGGGUGACCUCCUGGGAAGUUUUCCCGGGAAGUGUGCGAGUGAGGACAAAACACGCUGAAAAGUCUCGUGUUAGUGUGUGGGGACAGUCGUUGAUCCUUGCAAGUUGCCAGGCGUUACAGUGGUAUCAGAGGAGAGCCUUUCUUCCAGUAUGGUGUGGUUCGAGGACAAACCAAGCGGAAGCUGGUGGGCAUGUGGGACGGUACAGUUGGGAAUAGCUUAUAAGAAUUAAUUGGUACUACCUAUACUAACAAGAUGCAUCUACUUUUCGGUAGCCCGGAUCGGAAGAACUCCAUAGUUAAGCGUGCUUGACCUGGGGCAAUUCUGGGAUGGGUGACCUUCUGGGAAGUUUUCCCGGGAAGUGUGCGAGGUAGGACAAAACACGUUAAAAAGUCUCGUGUUAGUGUGUGGGGACAGUCGUUGAUCCUUGCAAGUUGCCAGGCGUUACAAAAACCAUCUCUCUCUCUCUCUCAUGUUAUUCAUAUAUAAUUAUUAUUAUUUUUACUUUUUUGGUUUUUUUUUAAUCCCGCGACACGUUUUCUAUUUACCUUCUCUAGCUUUACAUUAAGAUUAUUUUAAAGAACCUUGGGAUACAUCACCCCAAAAGCUAGCUCAAAGGGUGGGGUGUCCAAGGCCUUAUAAACUUCACAUUAGUUGCACAUACAACCAAUGUGAGACUAUAUAUCUCAACACGCCCCAAUGUGGGACUAUAUAUCUCAACACGCCCCCUCACACAAGAGCCCAUUGGGCUUGAAGAGUGGAUGAUGCAACAGGCCCAACCUACCUGUGCUAAGAAAUUCCACAAGAGAAAGUGGGGGGGGCGAGGCUCUGAUACCAUGUAAAGAACCUUGAGAUACACCACUCCAAAAGCUAGUUCAAAGGGUGGGAGUGUCCAAGGUCUUGUAAACUCCACAUUAGUUGCACAUACAAUCAAUGUGAGAUUAUAUAUCUUAGCACGCCCCUUGUGGGACUAUAUAUCUCAACAAUUAUCUCAUCCCAUUUUAAGUCAACAACGAAAAAUGAUCAAGUUAUUUUCCUUUAUUUUUUUCCAUCAUGUGCUUGAUGAAGCAAAACAUUGCCCCGUAAUGCCAAAAUUAUUCUAAGCAGUGACCAAAUGGGGAGACUUCACUCUGGGUAGAAGCACCGUAACAAAAUCUAAGAAUUGAUCAAUCUGAUCCAUUCAUAACUUCUCAUCAAAUAUGUAUCAGAUGAAAACUUUGGAAGAAUAUCCACAAGCUAUUUGACAUUUUAACUAUUUUCUCCCACAAAAGGGGUUGGAUAUGCUACUUCAAUUGACUGAGGAAGGUCCUUAACCCAAUCACUCCUAAAUUUAAAGUUCCAAUAGAAAAAGUGCUUAGCUUUCUAUAACAAAUGAAGGUUUCAAGGAAGUAGUCAUGGAAAGAAAUCAUAGUUAUCAAAUAACCCUUGAAAAUGCUGUAGCGGUACAGCACAACAGUGAAUUUUCAAAAGAAGUUAGGUUGGAGGCAGAGGUGGAGCCGGGGGCUAGCGUGGCCAUGUCUUAUCUGAAUUUCAAAAGAUCGAUGCUUAUAAAUUUCAACCAAUGGGAAACUGUCUAAAGAAGCUGUUCAUUUCAUGAGAUGAUUUCCUUAUUAUACUAAUGGGCUAGCGAGUUUGCAGUUGUUCUUUAUUAUGUAUGAAAAACUUCGCCGGCAUGGUGAAAAAAAUAAAAAAUUCUUAAUCUGAACAAAAUUACAUGCAAUGCAAGACAGAUUGAGUUAAACAAAUCAUUUUCCCAAUGAAAGACUUUAGACCUUAUCAAUAGUACCAAAGAUUUGCUUCUACGUGAGUGAGUGUUAGUGACUUUAUUCUUCCCCACUUCCCUUUUCUGCUAAUUAUUUUCUCUUACAUGAUACUGCAUUCCAAAAUCUACUAUAAACUAAUAGGCCUUUGCAAAGAUGGAGCGGAAUAACAAUAAUGCUAGAAGGAAAAAGGGCGGGCUAGUUACAAUGUCCUUUAUCUUUGCUAAGUUUCGGAAAUAAACUCUAGUCAUCUAUAUUCGAAUGUAAAACAUAGUUCGCUCCUUCUAGCAUUAAUCUAAAUAUAAUGCUUUGAACGUGAAAACCUUAGAUUUGUUGGGCUGCAGCUAUUGAAGUUUGCAAAAAGUUAGCUGUCGUUGGUUUAAAUGACAACAUGUUAAGCUACUUGAUGGAAGAGCUUCAUCUUCCACAAACAAAAGUGGUGAAGACACUCACAACUUUGGUGGAACUUCAAAACAUUAUAUUUAGAAGGAAGGGGCGAAGCGAAGCAGUGGUAAAAUUGUUCCUUCAUGACUGAAAGGUCAUAAGUUCGAAUUCAGGAAACAGCCUCUUUGCAACUAUGCAAGGGUAAGAUUGCGUACAAGGAUUUCCUCCACUCCACACUUGUUAGUCGGGUUUCACGGGGAGUAUAUUUAUUUUUUAUUUUUUUUUAAUGCUAGAAGGAGGGAGCUGUAUUUUACAUUCCAAUAUAGAUGACUAGAGUUUCUUCUUGAAACUUACCAAAGAUAAAAAAAGGCAUUGUAACCAGCCUGCCCUUUUUGGGUGAAACAACUUCUUGGGUGGACAAUCCUCUUCCCGACCACUUGGGAAUGCUGUCUUGGGUGGAAUUGAUUUCGUCAUCGAGGGUGGACAGGUUCAGUACUGGGAUGAGCUUGCAAGACAGAUUGAGUUAAACAAAUCAUUUUCCCAGUGAAAGACUUUUGGACCUUAUCAAUAGUACCAAAGAUUUGCUUCUACGUGAGUGAGUGUUAGUGACUUUAUUCUUCCCCACUUCCCUUUUCAGCUAAUUAUUUUCUCUUACAUGAUACUGCAUUCCAAAAUCUACUAUAAACUAAUAGGCCUUUGCAAAGAUAGCGCGGAAUAACAAUAAUGCUAGAAGGAAAAAGGGCGGGCUAGUUACAAUGCCCUUUAUCUUUAGUAAGUUUAGGAAAUAAACUCUAGUCAUCUAUAUUCGAAUGUAAAACAUAGCUCGCUCCUUCUAGCAUUAAUCUAAAUAUAAUGCUUUGAACGUGAAAACCUUAGAUUUGUUGGGCUGCAGCUAUUGAAGUUUACAAAAAGUUAGCUGUCGUUGGUUUAAAUGACAACAUGUUAAGCUAGUUGAUGAAAGAGCUUCAUCUUCCACAAACAAAAGUGGUGAAGACGCUCACAACUUUGGUGGAACUUCAAAACAUUAUAUUUAGAAGGAAGGAGGCAAACCGAAGCAGUGGUAAAACUGUUCUUUCAUGACUGAAAGGUCAUGGGUUCGAAUUCAGAAAACAGCCUCUUUGCAACUAUGCAAGGGUAAGAAUUUAGGGGUGCUAAACAAACCAGGGGCCUUUGGCUCGAAUUGUGAAAGCUUGAGCUUACAUGUCUAAAAUUGGUUGUUGGCACAGGAUUAGACUUUUAUAAAAGCUCGUUUAAUAAAAUGGCCUCAGGUUCCAAUUCAAAAGCUCGGCCUUAAAGCCUCUCAGGCUGGCCUAGUAUAUUAUUUUUUAUUUAUAUUUUAUAUUUUUUAUACUACUUGUAAUAGCCAUCUCUUUCUCCUUAAUCCAUUUCACCCUAUUUUAUUGGUUAAACACACUUUUUGAAUGAUUUUGUUCUAUAUUAUGUUGUUUAGAUAUAAAUUGAAUUUAUGAAUAUUUAUGGAAUUACUAGGGUUGUUGAUUGUAUAUUCUGUUUGGAUAAAUUUUUGUUGUCUUAUUUUUUUAAACAGGCUAAACAAGGCUUUUAUUUGUUGUAAAUAAGUCAGGCCGCAGGCCGAUAGUUAUAUUUAUAAUAGGUAACAGGCUUGGUCAGGCUGACACAUUUAAACACAGGCUUAGCCUUUUAAGACCAAAGUUCGGCUCGGCUCGGCCCGUUAACACCCCUAGGUAAGAUUGCGUACAAGGAUUUCCUCCACUCCACACUUGCUAGUCGGGUUUAACGGGGAGUAUAUUUAUUUUUUAUUUUUUUUUAAUGCUAGAAGGAGGGACCUGUAUUUUACAUUCGAAUAUAGAUGACUAGAGUUUCUUCUUGAAUCUUACCAAAGAUAAAAAAGGCAUUGUAACCAGCCUGCCCUUUUUGGGUGAAACAACUUCUUGGGUGGACAAUCCUCUUCCCGACCACUUGGGGAUGCUGUCUUGGAUGGAAUUGAUUUCGUCAUCGAGGGUGGACAGGUUCAGUACUGGGAUGAGCUUGCAAGGAACCUUUGCUACAGCAAGAAAGUAUACUU